rnacentral:rRNA from 1 species
UGGAAACGACUGCUAAGACUGGAUAGGAGACAAGAAGGCAUCUUCUUGUUUUUAAAAGACCUAGCAAUAGGUAUGCUUAGGGAGGAGCUUGCGUCACAUUAGUUAGUUGGUGGGGUAAAGGCCUACCAAGACUAUGAUGUGUAGCCGGGCUGAGAGGUUGAACGGCCACAUUGGGACUGAGACACGGCCCAAACUCCUACGGGAGGCAGCAGUAGGGAAUUUUCGGCAAUGGAGGAAACUCUGACCGAGCAACGCCGCGUGAACGAUGAAGUAUUUCGGUACGUAAAGUUCUUUUAUUAGGGAAGAAUAAAUGAUGGAAAAAUCAUUCUGACGGUACCUAAUGAAUAAGCCCCGGCUAACUAUGUGCCAGCAGCCGCGGUAAUACAUAGGGGGCAAGCGUUAUCCGGAAUUAUUGGGCGUAAAGGGUGCGUAGGCGGUUAAAUAAGUUUGUGGUCUAAGUGCAAUGCUCAACAUUGUGAUGCUAUAAAAACUGUUUAGCUAGAGUAAGAUAGAGGCAAGUGGAAUUCCAUGUGUAGUGGUAAAAUGCGUAAAUAUAUGGAGGAACACCAGUAGCGAAGGCGGCUUGCUGGGUCUUUACUGACGCUGAGGCACGAAAGCGUGGGGAGCAAACAGGAUUAGAUACCCUGGUAGUCCACGCCGUAAACGAUGAGUACUAAACGUUGGUUAAAACCAGUGUUGAAGUUAACACAUUAAGUACUCCGCCUGAGUAGUACGUACGCAAGUAUGAAACUUAAAGGAAUUGACGGGACUCCGCACAAGCGGUGGAUCAUGUUGUUUAAUUCGAAGGUACCCGAAAAACCUCACCAGGUCUUGACAUGCUUCUGCAAAGCUGUAGAAACACAGUGGAGGUUAUCAGUUGCACAGGUGGUGCAUGGUUGUCGUCAGCUCGUGUCGUGAGAUGUUGGGUUAAGUCCCGCAACGAGCGCAACCCUUAUUGUUAGUUACCAGCACGUAAUGGUGGGGACUUUAGCAAGACUGCCAGUGAUAAAUUGGAGGAAGGUGGGGACGACGUCAAAUCAUCAUGCCCCUUAUGACCUGGGCUACAAACGUGAUACAAUGGCUGUUACAAAGGGUAGCUGAAGCGCAAGUUUUUGGCGAAUCUCAAAAAAACAGUCUCAGUUCGGAUUGAAGUCUGCAACUCGACUUCAUGAAGUUGGAAUCGCUAGUAAUCGCGAAUCAGCAUGUCGCGGUGAAUACGUUCUCGGGGUUUGUACACACCGCCCGUCAAAC